CUGUUUCUAAAAAAUAUGUGCACACAGAUUUUACGGGCUUCACCUCUAUUACUAUUGGGCAUGAGAUUCUGCUGAAGCCACAGUUAUUUUGCAAGUCAGCGAGGACUUCUCCAGCAGUGGGUUGGAGUUACAUUGGUAACUUUGCUCUAAAUUUCCCCUUUAAUGGAAAAAAAUAUGGAUGGAAGGCAGAGGAGCAUAAAUCUUGCAAGUUGCUUUUCCAACAGCAGCCAGAACCAGCCCCAAAUGAAGACACUGUAUGCUGCUGGCGGCUAUGCUCUCUGAACGCUGAUUUCAACAAGCAAUCACCAGCCAGAGAAGUAUUAGAAGGGUAUAUCCUCUCACUUCCAAAUUCAGCCCUGAGACAGAAUCUCAGACUCACUGGGUAUAUUUCUCUUCUUGGAUCCUUCUUCCUUCUGUGUCUGCUUCCUGGCCACCAUGACAUGAGCAGCUUUCAUUCACCCAACACUUCUACCGUGUCAUUACCGUAUUGGAGCCAGCUGACCGUGCAAGGACUGAACCCUCUCCUCUUUUAAACAGCGAAUGUCAGGAGUUUUGUCUCAGUGACAUUAAAGUGAUAAAUAUAAAGGAAAUGAUAAACAAGGCAAGAAGAUAUAUAUACAACUGAGGUAUGAUUUCCUGGUUAAGUUUGAAAACAUCACAGAUGAGUUAUUUCUGUGGUUCAAAGGCAAAUCUGAAGAUUUUCA
rnacentral:lncRNA from 1 species